UACUGUCCCUAGGCUGAUGACUGUCACAUUUUUACUGGGGCCAAAACUUUCCUCUGAGAUUCAGAUGUGUGUCACCAACUAGAGAGCAGGCUUGGAAUUUAAAAAUAAAGUUUUCAAAAAGAGAUUUUUUAAAAAUCCCAGUAAAGUCAAGAAGAAAGAAAAGAAGGAAGGAAGGAGGGAAGGAAGAAGGAAGAAAGGAAGAAAGGAAGCGUUUAGUAGGAUGACCCGCUAAAACACCAUUUCAAUGCCCUUUCCAAU
rnacentral:lncRNA from 1 species